rnacentral:rRNA from 1 species
UACGUAGGGGGCAAGCGUUGUCCGGAAUCAUUGGGCGUAAAGCGCACGUAGGCGGACUGUUAAGUCGAGUGUGAAAUCCCGGGGCUCAACCUCGGACGUGCACUCGAUACUGCGGGACUGGAGUACUGGAGAGGAGAGCGGAAUUCCCGGUGUAGAGGUGAAAUUCGUAGAUAUCGGGAGGAACACCAGUGGCGAAGGCGGCGAUCUGGGAAGAUACUGACGCUGAGGUGCGAAAGCGUGGGGAGCAAACAGG